CUUAAGCGCAACAUGAGUUCCGUGUCCAACUUUAAUUAUUUGUCUUAUUUAAUUUUUUUUAUAAUUAGUAUUUUUAUUGUUAUUAGAUUAUAAAACAUUAUUAGUGACUCAUAUUUUUUAGUUUUCUCCAAAAAAAAAUUAAAUAAAACGAAUAAUCAAAGUUGGACAAAAAACUUAUGGCUGCGCUUAUU
rfam:Oryza glaberrima chromosome 1 Oglab01_0232_6, whole genome shotgun sequence.